ACAGGGAUUGCCUCAGUAUCGGCGAGUGAAGCGGCAAAAGCUUAAAUUUGAAAUCUGGCACUAGCCCGAGUUGUAAUUUGUAGAGGAUGCACAUCUUCAGCAAGAGGCUUUGAGUCUAAGUUCCCUGGAACGGGAUAUCAUGGAGGGUGAGAAUCCCGUACAUGGUUCAUUGUCUCUUGCAUCAUGAAGCUCCUUCAACGAGUCGAGUUGUUUGGGAAUGCAGCUCAAAACAGGAGGUAAAUUCCUUCCAAAGCUAAAUAUUAGCCAGAGACCGAUAGCGAACAAGUAGAGUGAUCGAAAGAUGAAAAGCACUUUGGAAAGAGAGUUAAAAAGUAUGUGAAAUUGUUGAAAGGGAAGCGCUUGCAACCAGAUUUUUCACUGUAGGUUAGAUCAUCUAGGCUCUUUGGCCUAGUGUACUCUACCUAUAUUGUGUGCCAGCAUCGGUUUGUUAGUCGAGAGAAAAAGGUAGUGUGUUGUCAAUUCCUCCGGGUAUUUGGCAUGCAUUUACAGGUACAUCUUGAACCCAGACCGAGGACAGCGCUUUUGGCAUGGAUGCUGGUGUAAUGGUUGUAAGCGGCCCGUCU
rnacentral:rRNA from 1 species